rnacentral:rRNA from 1 species
AUUGAACGCUGGCGGCAGGCCUAACACAUGCAAGUCGAGCGAGCGGCGGACGGGUGAGGAAUGUCUGGGAAACUGCCUGCUGGAGGGGGAUAACUACUGGAAACGGUAGCUAAUACCGCAUACCAUCAGAUGUGCCCAGAGGGGAUUGGCUAGUAGGUGGGGUAACGGCGACCCUAGGCGACGAUCCCUAGCUGGUCUGAGAGGAUGACCAGCCACACGUGAACUGAGACACGGUCCAGACUCCUACGGGAGGCAGCAGUGGGGAAUAUUGCACAAUGGGCGCAAGCCUGAUGCAGCCAUGCCGCGUGUUGGAAGAAGGCCUUCGGGUUGUAAAGCACUUUCAGCGGGGAGGCGUUACCCGCAGAAGAAGCACCGGCUAACUCCGUGCCAGCAGCCGCGGUAAUAC